AAUGAUGAACUGUAAUCUGGAAUUGUAAGCUGAAACAAAUCCUUCUCUUCAUUAAGUUGCUUUUUGUUAUAAUAUGUUACAACAGUAACAGAAAUGAAUUUAAGACAGUUGUUUUUUCUCUAUUUCCAUAUCCAAAAAGUCAUAUCUAAAAUUAGGGUUUAUUUGUUCAAAUAAGCAUAUUGCUCUAGUAUAUCCUCCCUCUUUUAUUUCAAAUAUGCCUGAUCCGAUACAUUUUCUACUGUGACAUAGAAUUAUAUCCUUUGACACCACAUUGAUCACAAUUUGCCCAUCUCUGAAAUAAUAAAUCUGUCAUGGAGUUUUUGAUGGCAAGGAGCAAUAACAAGCUUGUUCAGUUUAAAGGGCAAUGAGAAAAUACUGUUCCAUGUAACUGAAAUACCAAAUGUUGACUUCAGCUUUAGGCACCAGUUGUAGGUGUCAGACCUGUUUCUUCAUUACUCUUUUAGUUUGCCUCCAAACUUUAGCUUUACUGUCUAGCUAACUUCCCCUUAUGAUGGGAAGUGGUUCAGAAAGGCAUAGGCAACCUAUCCCUAUGGUAUAAGGUCCAUGUACAGAGAGACAAGCAGAUCAGGGCACUUGCAUUUGUUGUUGGAUAUAUUGCAGUUCUUUUUCCACAGUUUACAUAUCUACUCUUGAGUACUCACUGGAUCUACACAGAGAUCAGGAACUAUUGCCUAAUGUUGGAGUUUAAAACCCAUUUCCAAGAUGAACCAUGGAAAGAUGGGGGGGCAUUCUUUUCAUCUGUCAGUUUGGGGGAAUCAGGAACAUGAGUCAAAAGGAUUUCUAGCCAAAGAAAUGAGUCAUUAUUAAGCAGUGCAAUGAAUGCUGGGAAAGCAGUUGACAGUGUCCUUCAUUCUGAGGAUGUCAUCCAAGGCCUGUCACUUUGAGGAUGUCAUCCAAGACUGGUCACAAAUCUAGCUCCAAACUAAAAUUCAAAUUUUCCAUCAUUCCAUUUCUUACAUUACUCUUGUCAGACUGAAUUAGCUGCUCAAAAUUUCCAUUUCAGCGACUUUGCUCCAAAUUAACUUUUUUGUCGUUGUUCAUUUGGAAUGUCAUGUUUCUGCGUCUGAUGUCUCCUCAAUCUUGGUCUUCUCAGACUAAAGAAAACAUACCUAGUCACCAAGACUAAAAUGAGAAAAUGCUAUUUUCUUGUUGAGAGGAUGAGUGCAAAACAAUGAAGUUCAAUCAUUUAAUCUAGAUUUACAUUCCGAAGCUGUCCUCUAGUAGUCUAUCUGUCUGUCGGUCUGUCUGUCUAUCUAUCUAUCAUCUAUGUGGUGAUAUGUUGUGUACCCUAAUAAAAUUUGCCUGAAGAUCAGAGGAUAGCACAAGCCACUAGAGUAAGCAUACUGGUUAGACAAUAUUGACACACACCUUUAAUCCUAGCACUGGAGAGGCAGAGAUCCACCUGGAUCUCUGUAAAUUCAAAUCUACCCUGGACUACAUGAGAUUGACUCAAUGUGUGCAGACUGUUGCCUAUACAAGUUGCCCUAAUGUACCUUCAAAACAGUGUUUUCUAGUGGGUUUUUAUGCCUUCACUCUUAUGCUGUUCAGUCUAGACUCCAAAUAUGUAUACAGGAUGCUUCUGGAAAUCCUCAUAUUAGUCAAGUCAUCAUCACCAUCAACACCAAGAUACUCAUUAGAGAGCAUGUAAUCAAGGCCCAAUGCAGGCCAAGUUCAAUUUUCCUGGCAAAGAUUCUUCGUAAGAAAUAUGAUUUUAUCAAAAUUAAGGUAGACAAAUGAAGAUGUGGUAUCUAGGAAUUGCCUCAUCCUAGAUAACUGUUGAGUCACAGACAUUGUAAAUCAUGGCCUCUUCAACAAAUGUUGGACCCUGCUGUUCUUCUUUAGUCAUGCCUUCUGGACGAUUUUAUUAUCUGGACAAAAUAAUACACCAAAUAAGCAUCACUGAAAUAAAAGUACAUUACAUCAUGACAUUAUUAACCACUGACUCAUUAAUUUUGGAUGCUCUCAUCAUUUUUAUCAGUUUUGAAAAAUUCUAUUCUAAUUUCCUUUUAGAAUAAAUAAGCAUGUGAAUAAAUGAUGACAUGAAGGCAUUAAGAAAUCAAAUUAUGGAAUGAGAUAUCAAUUGCAAUUUUGGAACAAGCACAUUGUUCCUGCAUCCUCGGAUUGUGGCUCCUUCAAUCAUCAACAUAAGAGACAACCUUGGAGUAUUUCUGUCUCACUCUGAUACAGUUUAUAUUCCUCCCUCUUCUACAUUUGAAGGGACUGUGCAAUUAUAAUGGACCUUCUGGAUAAUUGGGAAUAGUCUUUUCCCAGCCCUGGAACAUUCAUCGUCCAUGGAAAUACACAAGUGCUGAGCCCAGGGCUGGUUCCCUGCCACAGAGUCCAACGCAAAUGCACCUGAAUGACUAACGUGUGCUGUGUGACUCAUCCAACCCUGACUGCAUCUGGGCCCAUCUGCUGAGCAGAGCCACCCAAACCAGGAAGGGCCAGUGAGGGUUGCUGAAGAGCUCUGGGAAGAGGGAGUUCAGCAUGUCCUUAAGGUGUCAGUGGAGACCAGAGGUGCUGGAUUCCCUGGAGCUGGAGUUACAGGUGGCCGUGUGCUGCUUGACAUGAGUUCUGGGAACUAAACUCAGUCUUCUGCAACAACUCUAUGCACUCUUAAUCAUCGAGCCAUUUCUCCAGCCCUAUGAAUGAGUCUACUCAUUGCAAGCCUUUAUAAGAACAGUCUCCAAGGUAUCCUAGACAGCUCUUCCUCAGCAGUCUAAUAUUGCAUCUGGAGAGACUUCCCAAGACUAGUCUGGCUAAAGCUUCCAGAGAAGAGGACAGAAUUGUAAAGACCUACGCCUUCACACAACAAACCAGAAACAGAUGGUGAUGCUGAGGUUCGACACAAGGCACACACACUACCUAAGGAAUAUGUUGUGUCGACCAUAAAUCUGCUCCAAGCGCUAAUAAGGAAACAAUGCAUUUUCCACUGUCCUAAGCAAAAUACAUGCUCUCCAGUGUCCAGGUAUUUGGUUGUCCAACAAGAAGCCCAUUCUAACUAAAUUUUCAUUUGUUCCUUGGAUAUGAGGCUGCAAACUUAGGGAUAAAUAAAGGCCAUCAUGUUCUAGAAAGCUUCUUUUCUAUCAGGGGAGAAAAUGCCAUUGUUUCUUGGAAGGAAAAACUAUAAAGGAUAAAUUUGUCCAGUGCUGGAAGGUAUUUUGCAUACCACCAGGGAAGAAAAGAAUUCAUCAUUAUCAUCCAGCUUCAAAUCGUGCAACCAACAAUGGUGACCUGCUUGCAAGAUAAGACAGGAGACCACAACUGGAUAAUGAACAGGGAGUCUGAUUAGAAAAUUUUAACAGAAAACAUUGUGUAUUGUUCUACAUGGACUAUGAGAUAAGGGAAUGAAAUAAGAGCCCAACACCUUGCAUCACAGGCAAGAGUUUGACUGAGCUUUAUAAAGAGCAAAUCUGGCUGUAGUAAAUAAAGCUGUUUGUGUAUGGAA